rnacentral:rRNA from 1 species
CCUACGGGAGGCAGCAGUAGGGAAUCUUCCGCAAUGGACGAAAGUCUGACGGAGCAACGCCGCGUGAACGAUGAAGGCCUUCGGGUCGUAAAGUUCUGUUGUUAGGGAAGAACAAGUGCUAGUUGAAUAAGCUGGCACCUUGACGGUACCUAACCAGAAAGCCACGGCUAACUACGUGCCAGCAGCCGCGGUAAUACGUAGGUGGCAAGCGUUGUCCGGAAUUAUUGGGCGUAAAGCGCGCGCAGGCGGUUUCUUAAGUCUGAUGUGAAAGCCCCCGGCUCAACCGGGGAGGGUCAUUGGAAACUGGGAAACUUGAGUGCAGAAGAGGAAAGUGGAAUUCCAAGUGUAGCGGUGAAAUGCGUAGAGAUUUGGAGGAACACCAGUGGCGAAGGCGACUUUCUGGUCUGUAACUGACGCUGAGGCGCGAAAGCGUGGGGAGCAAACAGGAUUAGAUACCCUGGUAGUCCACGCUGUAAACGAUGAGUGCUAAGUGUUAGAGGGUUUCCGCCUUUAGUGCUGAAGUUACGCAUUAAGCACUCCGCCUGGGGGAGUACGGUCGCGAGACGAGAACUACAANAGAAGUAGACGGCGUGAGACGUGCCGACGACGACGACGAGGGAGGUUAGG